GAUGAACGCUGGCGGCGUGCCUAAUACAUGCAAGUCGAGCGAACAGACGAGGAGCUUGCUCCUCUGACGUUAGCGGCGGACGGGUGAGUAACACGUGGAUAACCUACCUAUAAGACUGGGAUACCUUGGGGAAACGGGGCCUAAUACGGGAAAAAUUAUUAAACCCCUGGGUUAAUAGGUAAAAGAGGUUUUUCCGUUACCUAUUGAAUGAAUCCCGGCCGCAUUAGCUAGUUGGUAAGGUAACGGCUUACCAAGGCGACGAUGCGUAGCCGACCUGAGAGGGUGAUCGGCCACACUGGAACUGAGACACGGUCCAGACUCCUACGGGAGGCAGCAGUAGGGAAUCUUCCGCAAUGGGCGAAAGCCUGACGGAGCAACGCCGCGUGAGUGAUGAAGGUCUUCGGAUCGUAAAACUCUGUUAUUAGGGAAGAACAAAUGUGUAAGUAACUAUGCACGUCUUGACGGUACCUAAUCAGAAAGCCACGGCUAACUACGUG
rnacentral:rRNA from 1 species